GAUGAACGCUGGCGGCGUGCCUAAUACAUGCAAGUCGAGCGAACAGACGAGGAGCUUGCUCCUCUGACGUAGCGGCGGACGGGUGAGUAACACGUGGAUAACCUACCUAUAAGACUGGGAUAACUUCGGGAAACCGGAGCUAAUACCGGAUAAUAUAUUGAACCGCAUGGUUCAAUAGUGAAAGACGGUUUUGCUGUCACUUAUAGAUGGAUCCGCGCCGCAUUAGCUAGUUGGUAAGGUAACGGCUUACCAAGGCAACGAUGCGUAGCCGACCUGAGAGGGUGAUCGGCCACACUGGAACUGAGACACGGUCCAGACUCCUACGGGAGGCAGCAGUAGGGAAUCUUCCGCAAUGGGCGAAAGCCUGACGGAGCAACGCCGCGUGAGUGAUGAAGGUCUUCGGAUCGUAAAACUCUGUUAUUAGGGAAGAACAAAUGUGUAAGUAACUAUGCACGUCUUGACGGUACCUAAUCAGAAAGCCACGGCUAACUACGUG
rnacentral:rRNA from 1 species